rnacentral:rRNA from 1 species
AGGGCAUUUGGUGGAUGCCUUGGCACCGAAAGGCGAUGAAGGACGUGGCACCCUGCGAUAAGCCUCGGGGAAUUGGGAGCAAAUUUUGAUCCGAGGAUUUCCGAAUGGGGAAACCCGACCCAUUGGGUCAUUUCGCGCUGAAUACAUAGGCGCGGAAAGCGAACCCGGCGAACUGAAACAUCUCAUUAGCCGGAGGAAAGGACAUCAACCGAGACUCUGUUAGUAGCGGCGAGCGAACGCGGACCAGGCCAGUGGCCAUUGUGUAAGAACCGGAACCGGCUGGAAAGCUGGGCCAUAGUGGGUGACAGCCCCGUACGGGUAGAAAGCAUGAUGGUCCUCGAGUAGGGCGGGACACGAGAAAUCUUGUCUGAACUUGGGGGGACCACCCUCCAAGCCUAAGUACUCUUCGGUGACCGAUAGUGUACCAGUACCGUGAGGGAAAGGUGAAAAGCACCCCGACGAGGGGAGUGAAACAGUUCCUGAAACCGAAUGCCUACAAGCAGUGGGAGCCUCUUCAUGGGGUGACCGCGUACCUUUUGUAUAAUGGGUCAGCGAGUUCGUCUGUGCGGCAAGCUUAAGCCAUUAGGUGUAGGCGUAGCGAAAGCGAGUCUGAAUAGGGCGUUUAGUCGUACGGAUGAGACCCGAACCCGGGUGAUCUAGCCAUGGGCAGGUUGAAGGUGGGGUAAAACCCACUGGAGGACCGAACCCACCGACGUUGAAAAGUCGGGGGAUGACCUGUGGCUAGGGGUGAAAGGCCAAUCAAACCCGGAAAUAGCUGGUUCUCCGCGAAAUCUAUUUAGGUAGAGCGUUGUGUAUCACCGCCGGGGGUAGAGCACUGGAUAGGCUAGGGGGGCGCGAGCCUUACCAAACCUAACCAAACUCCGAAUACCGGUGAGUGGGAGCACAGCAGACAGUCCAUGGGUGCUAAGGUCCAUGGACAAGAGGGAAACAGCCCAGACCGCCAGCUAAGGUCCCUAAGUGGUGGCUAAGUGGGAAAGGAUGUGGAGCGGCCAAGACAGCCAGGAGGUUGGCUUAGAAGCAGCCAUCCUUUAAAGAAAGCGUAACAGCUCACUGGUCUAACAGCCAUUCCGCGCCGAAGAUGUACCGGGGCUCAAGCCAUCCACCGAAGCUGCGGGGUUCAGAAGUCAGUAGUCAGGAGUCAGAAGUUAGAAGUCUUCUGCGAAAGCGGAGGGUUUCCAACUUUGACCUCUGUCUUCUGGCUUCUGGACCGGUAGCGGAGCGUUCCGUAAGCCCGUGAAGGUCGGCCGCGAGGUCGGCUGGAGGUAUCGGAAGUGAGAAUGCUGACAUGAGUAACGAUAAAGAGUGUGAGAAACACUCUCGCCGAAAGUCCAAGGGUUCCUGCGCAAGGCUAAUCCGCGCAGGGUGAGCCGGCCCCUAAGGCGAGGGCGAAAGCCGUAGUCGAUGGGAACCAGGUUAAUAUUCCUGGGCCUGCCGGAGGUGACGAAUGCCGUGUAUCGUUUGUGCUUAUUGGAUUGUGCAAGCGGUGAAGGUGUUCCAGGAAAUAGCCCCGGCGUAUAGACCGUACCCUAAACCGACACAGGUGGACUGGUAGAGCAUACCAAGGCGCUUGAGAGAACGACGUUGAAGGAACUCGGCAAAAUACCCCCGUAACUUCGGGAGAAGGGGGCCCCGUGCUUGGGCAACCAGGUGUGGGGGGCACAGACCAGGGGGUGGCGACUGUUUACUAAAAACAUAGGACUCUGCUAAGUCGCAAGACGACGUAUAGGGUCUGACGCCUGCCCGGUGCCGGAAGGUUAAGGAGAGGGGUGCAAGCUCUGAACCGAAGCCCCGGUAAACGGCGGCCGUAACUAUAACGGUCCUAAGGUAGCGAAAUUCCUUGUCGGGUAAGUUCCGACCUGCACGAAUGGCGUAACGACUUCCCCGCUGUCUCCAACGUCGACUCAGUGAAAUUGAACUCUCCGUGAAGAUGCGGAGUACCCGCGGUUAGACGGAAAGACCCCGUGCACCUUUACUACAGCUUCGCACUGGUAUCGGGAUGUGGCUGUGUAGGAUAGGUGGGAGGCUUUGAAGCUGGGGCGUCAGCUCUGGUGGAGCCAGCCUUGAAAUACCACCCUUUUACUUCCUGAUAUCUAACCAUGACCCGUGAAUCCGGGUCUGGGACCGUGCGUGGUGGGUAGUUUGGCUGGGGCGGUCGCCUCCCAAAGAGUAACGGAGGCGCGCGAUGGUGGGCUCAGGCUGGUCGGAAAUCAGCUGUAGAGUGUAAUGGCAUAAGCCCGCCUGACUGUGAGACUGACAAGUCGAGCAGAGACGAAAGUCGGUCAUAGUGAUCCGGUGGUCCCGUGUGGAAGGGCCAUCGCUCAACGGAUAAAAGGUACGCCGGGGAUAACAGGCUGAUCUCCCCCAAGAGUCCAGAUCGACGGGGAGGUUUGGCACCUCGAUGUCGGCUCAUCACAUCCUGGGGCUGAAGCAGGUCCCAAGGGUUUGGCUGUUCGCCAAUUAAAGUGGUACGUGAGCUGGGUUUAGAACGUCGUGAGACAGUUCGGUCCCUAUCUGCCGUGGGUGUACGAGACUUGAGAGGAGCUGCCCUUAGUACGAGAGGACCGGGGUGGACGCACCUCUGGUGGACCGGUUGUCGCGCCAGCGGCACAGCCGGGUAGCUAAGUGCGGAAGGGAUAACCGCUGAAAGCAUCUAAGCGGGAAGCCCACCUCAAAACCAGGUCUCGCUUGAGAACCGUGGAAGACCACCACGUUGAUAGGCCGGAUGUGGAAGUGUAGCAAUGCAUGCAGCUAACCGGUACUAAUCGUUCGAUUGGCUUGAUC